ACAGUUAGCACUGCCCCGAAGACCUUCACCGAUGACCUCCUGGAUUUCAUUUCCAGUUCAACUUUCUACACAGUCCGUUGUGUCUUCAUCAUCUGCUACCUGCUGGUAAUGAGCACCGCUGUGAUCACUGAAAGAGUUUACUCCCGGAUCAAAAAAGCAGACGAUUCGAAUCCUGCUGAGCUGUCCUCCUAACUCGGCUCAAAUCAAUCACUUUUGCUAAAUACAUGCCAUGGCUAAACAGAAAGCUUUUAGUUACAGAGCUCAUAUUGCUUUGCUGUUAUGUAGAUGUUUGUUAAGUAGAAUUUCAUUGUUAGGUAAUUAGUCUAUCAUUAUCCCUGUUGCAGUCGGCAUGGUGUUUGAUUCCCUGUGUAACUGUGAUGCAUCUUAAGAUCGAUCUCUCACUGCAUUCUUGAAUAGCUGUUUCAAUGAGUGUGAACAUACUGUGCUUCAUGAUAGCUAACAAAAUAUACAUAAUUUUAAAUAUAAAUUUUAAUUUUAAAACUAGAUAAAUACAAAAUUCAAUCUAUGUGGCAUUAUUUUGCUUGGAAUAAAAGUACAGCAAG